UCCCUGAUGGUCUAGUGGUUAGGAUUUGGUGCUUUCACCGCCGUGGCCCGGGUUCGAUUCCCGGUCAGGGAA
rnacentral:tRNA from 1 species